UAUUAAGUGGCCGAAAUACUAAGCACUAGACUUUUAAUCUAGAAAAUGAUUUAAUUAAUCCUUAAUG
rnacentral:tRNA from 1 species